GACGAACGCUGGCGGCGUGCUUAACACAUGCAAGUCGAACGAUGAAACCUAGCUUGCUAGGUCGAUUAGUGGCGAACGGGUGAGUAACACGUGACUAACCUGCCCCUUUCUCUGGGAUAACGCUCCGAAAGGAGUGCUAAUACCGGAUACUCACACCGAGGCACAUGCCUUGGUGUGGAAAGUUUUUCGGAAAGGGAUGGAGUCGCGGCCUAUCAGCUUGUUGGUGAGGUAACGGCUCACCAAGGCGACGACGGGUAGCCGGCCUGAGAGGGCGACAGGCCACACUGGGAAGGAGACACGGACCAGACUCCUACGGGAGGCAGCAGUGGGGAAUAUUGCACAAUGGGCGCAAGCCUGAUGCAGCGACGCCGCGUGAGGGAUGAAGGUCUUCGGAUUGUAAACCUCUUUCAGUAGGGACGAAGCGAAAGUGACGGUACCUAAAGAAGAAGCACCGGCUAACUACGUGCCAGCCGCCGCCGUAA
rnacentral:rRNA from 1 species